GAGGAAGUAAAAGUCGUAACAAGGUCUCCGUUGGUGAACCAGCGGAGGGAUCAUUACUGAGUUUACGCUCUACAACCCUUUGUGAACAUACCUACAACUGUUGCUUCGGCGGGUAGGGUCUCCGCGACCCUCCCGGCCUCCCGCCUCCGGGCGGGUCGGCGCCCGCCGGAGGAUAACCAAACUCUGAUUUAACGACGUUUCUUCUGAGUGGUACAAGCAAAUAAUCAAAACUUUUAACAACGGAUCUCUUGGUUCUGGCAUCGAUGAAGAACGCAGCGAAAUGCGAUAAGUAAUGUGAAUUGCAGAAUUCAGUGAAUCAUCGAAUCUUUGAACGCACAUUGCGCCCGCCAGCAUUCUGGCGGGCAUGCCUGUUCGAGCGUCAUUUCAACCCUCAAGCUCUGCUUGGUGUUGGGGCCCUACAGCCGAUGUAGGCCCUCAAAGGUAGUGGCGGACCCUCCCGGAGCCUCCUUUGCGUAGUAACUUUACGUCUCGCACUGGGAUCCGGAGGGACUCUUGCCGUAAAACCCCCCAAUUUUCCAAAGGUUGACCUCGGAUCAGGUAGGAAUACCCGCUGAACUUAAGCAUAU
rnacentral:rRNA from 1 species